GCUAGCAAGAAGUUGAGCAGUAAGCUGAUGGACUGCUCCACAUUGAUCUGGUGGGUCGUCGGCAUCCGUUUGUUGAGCUGGUAGAAAAUGGUUGAAAUGACGGCUUCGAGGCGAGCCACGUUCAGUUCAAUGCUGGGAUCCAGGUUGUUGAGGGCAUUUUCCCGCAAGGCUUCUAUCACGUUCCAAAUGUCCACCAGGUGCAAGUUGCAUUUCUUCUGAACAAAUCUAAGUUUACAUGCUGUUCGGUAGGUGGACAAACGAAUGCGAUCCAGAUCUUGAGCCCGCAUUUCUGCAAACAGCUGCCUUCUUUCUGCCAUGGUA
rnacentral:lncRNA from 1 species